rnacentral:rRNA from 1 species
UACGUAGGUGGCAAGCGUUGUCCGGAAUUAUUGGGCGUAAAGCGCGCGCAGGCGGCCUCUUAAGUCUGAUGUGAAAGCCCCCGGCUCAACCGGGGAGGGCCAUUGGAAACUGGGAGGCUUGAGUAUAGGAGAGAAGAGUGGAAUUCCACGUGUAGCGGUGAAAUGCGUAGAGAUGUGGAGGAACACCAGUGGCGAAGGCGACUCUUUGGCCUAUAACUGACGCUGAGGCG